rnacentral:tRNA from 1 species
CGGGACGCAGCGCAGUCUGGUAGCGCACCUGAAUGGUGUUCAGGGGGCCGGAAGUUUACCCCUCAAGGGGGUACUGAAAAGAGCGAAUCUUCUCGUCCCGACCA